rnacentral:rRNA from 1 species
AACGAACGCUGGCGGCAUGCCUAACACAUGCAAGUCGAACGAGACCUUCGGGUCUAGUGGCGCACGGGUGCGUAACGCGUGGGAAUCUGCCCUUGGGUUCGGAAUAACAGUUAGAAAUGACUGCUAAUACCGGAUAAUGUCUUCGGACCAAAGAUUUAUCGCCCUAGGGAUGAGCCCGCGUAGGAUUAGCUAGUUGGUGAGGUAAAGGCUCACCAAGGCGACGAUCCUUAGCUGGUCUGAGAGGAUGAUCAGCCACACUGGGACUGAGACACGGCCCAGACUCCUACGGGAGGCAGCAGUGGGGAAUAUUGGACAAUGGGCGAAAGCCUGAUCCAGCAAUGCCGCGUGAGUGAUGAAAGCCUUCGGGUUGUAAAGCCCUUUCGGCGGGGACGAUGAUGACGGUACCCGCAGAAGAAGCCCCGGCUAACUUCGUGCCAGCAGCCGCGGUAAU